GACGAACGCUGGCGGCGUGCUUAACACAUGCAAGUCGAACGGUGAAGCGCCUUCCUUUUUGGUGGGUGUGGAUGAGUGGCGAACGGGUGAGUAACACGUGAGUAACCUGCCCCCUUCUUCUGGAUAACCGCAUGAAAGUGUGGCUAAUACGGGAUAUUCUGGGUCUGUCGCAUGAUGGGUCUGGGAAAGAUAUUGUUUCGGUGGGGGAUGGGCUCGCGGCCUAUCAGCUUGUUGGUGGGGUGAUGGCCUACCAAGGCGGUGACGGGUAGCCGGCCUGAGAGGGUGGACGGUCACACUGGGACUGAGACACGGCCCAGACUCCUACGGGAGGCAGCAGUGGGGAAUAUUGCACAAUGGGCGCAAGCCUGAUGCAGCGACGCCGCGUGAGGGAUGAGGCCUUCGGGUUGUGAACCUCUUUCGCCAGUGAAGCAGGCCUGCCUCGUUUGUGGGUGGGUUGACGGUAGCUGGAGAAGAAGCGCCGGCUAACUACGUG
rnacentral:rRNA from 1 species